GAGCGGCGGACGGGUGAGUAACGCGUGGGUAACCUGCCCUAUACACACGGAUAACAUACCGAAAGGUAUGCUAAUACGGGAUAACAUAAGAGAUUCGCAUGGAUUUCUUAUCAAAGCUUUUGCGGUAUAGGAUGGACCCGCGUCUGAUUAGCUAGUCGGUGAGGUAACGGCUUACCAAGGCGACGAUCAGUAGCCGACCUGAGAGGGUGAUCGGCCACAUUGGAACUGAGACACGGUCCAAACUCCUACGGGAGGCAGCAGUGGGGAAUAUUGCACAAUGGGCGAAAGCCUGAUGCAGCAACGCCGCGUGAGCGAUGAAGGCCUUCGGGUCGUAAAGCUCUGUCCUCAAGGAAGAUAAUGACGGUACUUGAGGAGGAAGCCCCGGCUAACUACGUGCCAGCAGCCGCGGUAAUACGUA
rnacentral:rRNA from 1 species